UACAGAGGUCCCAAGCGUUGUUCGGAUUCAUUGGGCGUAAAGGGUGCGUAGGCGGCGCGGUAAGUCGGGUGUGAAAUCUCGGAGCUUAACUCCGAAACUGCAUUCGAUACUGCCGUGCUUGAGGACUGGAGAGGAGACUGGAAUUUUUACGGUGUAGCGGGUGAAAUGCGUAGAUAUCGUAAGGAAGACCAGUGGCGAAGGCGGGUCUCUGGACAGUCCUGACACUGAGGCACGAAGGCCAGGGGAGCAAACGGG
rnacentral:rRNA from 1 species